GAUGAACGCUGGCGGCGUGCCUAAUACAUGCAAGUCGAGCGAAUGGAUUAAGAGCUUGCUCUUAUGAAGUUAGCGGCGGACGGGUGAGUAACACGUGGGUAACCUGCCCAUAAGACUGGGAUAACACCGGGAAACCGGUGCUAAUACCGGAUACUCCGUCUUGGCGGCAUCGCCGAGCCGGGAAAAAAUUUUGAUGAAAGAUGGUCUCGCGGCCUAUCAGCUAGUUGGUGAGGUAAAGGCUCACCAAGGCGACGACGGGUAGCCGGCCUGAGAGGGCGACCGGCCACACUGGGACUGAGACACAGCCCAGACUCCUACGGGAGGCAGCAGUAGGGAAUAUUGGGCAAUGGGCGCAAGCCUGACCCAGCGACGCCGCGUGAGGGAUGAAGGUCUUCGGAUUGUAAACCUCUUUUAGUAGGGAAGAAGCGAAAGUGACGGUACCUGCAGAAAAAGCACCGGCUAACUACGUGCCAGCAGCCGCCGUAA
rnacentral:rRNA from 1 species